UGCACAGAAACACGUGUCAACCGUUUCAGAAGCGCGAGUGCCAAGCCAGAGCGUCUCACCCCGGGGACUGGGCUGAGCUAGUCCAGCUCAGUCUUGGAAAUCUGUCGGAUGCAGACAAGAGACAGGUCUCCAGAGUCGAGGACCGCACAGCAGCCCUGGUCAGCAGCUCUGCAGAGGUGCUGGUGCCGAACGCUGGGACUUGUGAUAUCAGGGGAUGGGGAGGAAGAAAGCAGCCCGGAAAUGGGUGUUAGCAGGGCACAGCAAACCCAAGCGCCUUAAAGAGUAACGAGCCCAUUUCUCAUUCUUUUCCCUUCCCCGGAACUUUCGCAGCGCCCUGCACAAUUUCAGCCUGUACUUGACAUUCAAAUGCAUGUAGGAUCAUGCAUCUCAUUUCUCGGUGGUUCCCAAGUCGCCUAAAUAAAGCAUUUCCCAGGGUAGGCGAUCCCGGGGGUUAGGACCGUGGGAGCAGCCCUGGGACCUCUCUGCCUGGGUCAGGAAGGCUGCUCUUUCCGGAAGGGCGGCAGAGACCCUGGGAACUGGACCAGCCCAGCUCGCAAGUAUGAAGAGAAUGCAGGGGGAGGAAGUGGCGGCUGAGAGUCAGCAUGAGUCAUCGUCCCAAUGAGAAUGAGGGCCGAGGUGUGCGCCUGUUUUUUUUUUUGGUCUUGAUUGUGUGGACAUCACUGGGAAUGGAGGGAGCCGGUGGUGACUGUACCGCUCGGUCAGUUUUAAAGCAGCGCUCCGUGCGGGCAGGCUGGGCCUGAGCAUGACUUUGGUCCCCGGGAAGGAACAGCCCUCAGCUUCUCCCUGAAUAACUGGGAGACGGAACAGGAAGCUCUAUGACACACUUGAUCGAAAAUGACACAGACUCAGAAAAACCAGGACUCAGCCCCCCAGCGCCUCUGCCUGCUGCCGGCUGGAAGGCAGGACAAGGGGUCUCCUGGGACCGGAUUCUAGCUGCUGUGGACGCUCAGGGUUUCCAUGUUCACUGGGAUGUUUCUGCAAUCUUUUGGUCAUGGAUGGUGCACUCGUGAUGUUGUCUUAUUUAUCCGGCCAGUCUCUUGUGUCUUAAUCCCUCUCCUUCAUUAAAGCAAAACUAAAGAAAACCAAACUGUUUGCUUAUUCGCUGUAUGGAAACCCCAGCUGAAGGGGCCGACCCAUGUCCACUGAGCUUCCCGAAGGCACAGGUGAUGCUCGUCUCCACCACGUGUUCCUUACGAUGUUGAGCUUGAACCUCAAUUACUCAGCCAUGGUUGUCCUACUUCUUAAAUCUCCAGAAGGUCUCUCUAGAGUCAGCAUGGCCAGGUCGACCUUUGAGAAGAACCCUGGAAUCCAUCUGGAAAUCUCUUGCCUCGCCCACCCUGAUUCUGGCUUGCACCUGUGACCCCAAGAUCACCAGGAGCCUUUCAGCUGGGGAUCUUGGCCUUGUCUGUGUCCUCCUCCCUGCCCCACAUCCACUACCCCUUUGCUUAUUCAUUCCCUAAAGUUUUCUCUGGGGCCUACUGUGUGCCCAUGGCUGCCGACAAGGCCCAGGUUGUGGCCAGCUCUGCCCCCACCUCCCAGCGCUGCUCACCUCCUGAGGGGUUUCGCUCAGGGAGCGCCGGACAGAUCACCAGGCCUGGCUCACUGAGAUGCCCUGAUUCCCCAGAUCCAUGCCUCAGAUCUGAGGCCUGGAACUGGCCCCUGAAUAGUCCUCAAAGAAACAAGAUGGCAGGCCAGCCUCCCCUGCCCCAGGCCACGAGCAGGACAACCCACUUCCCUGAGGAUGUGCCGAGAGAGGCCACUUGUUGUCACCUCCCAGUACUGUCUCUUCAUCUAUAAGCAGACGUUCCAGAACAAUGCUGAGUGGGUCAGCUCUUCACUUCUCCGCAAGGCUGCCAUGCUGAGCCGUCUGGCCUUCUGACCAGGGUUUUGGUGGGCACUUCGAGUCCAUCUCUGAGGCUGGUUGACGCUGUGGCCAGGACUGGCCAGUGUCAGCCAGGCUCUCUCCAUGACACUGCCCAACAGGAAAGGUGGCCUGCGAAUCGAUUCGCAUCAGAAACCCAAAGUUGCUCAGCUAUGUUUUUAAAAAAGUUUAUUUGCUUAUAUUCCUGGAAAAUUGUGUUGUGGAGGGACGUGUCCUCAGUGGGCUGUCUCUAGCUGCUGCUUCUCAGCAGGACAUUAAGAAGGCCAGAUAAAGUGACUCUUAAGAUCCCACUGGUCGGAGCUUCUUGGUUUUUUUUUUUUUUUCUCUACUGGUUUCAUGUGACUGGAUUCUACUAGAGAGGGAACAGUGCAGACGGGUGACAUUAGUGUCAUGGACCCCGAGUCACCCAGGCCUAGCUGGACUUACACACAAGGGGCUCCCCUGACAGGCACACUUUCUCCCAAGGGGUCACCCCUCUCCCAUGUUCCAGAGCAGAACACAACAAUAUCCUUUGCCCUUUCCCAAUCUUACCUGCUAGGGUUACGUUGGGCCUUAAAAAUAUGGAAGUCAAAGGCUUGAGGAGAAUCACAAAUAACCCCCAGAGUGUUCACAGGCCAAUCAGUUCAUAGGAGGAUAAGAGAAAAAGCAAGAGGGUGGACCGUGCAACUCUAGGUGGUUAGGCAGUAACUCUGCCCCUGGCCAGAUAGUAGAAUUACUCAGGACUUACAGAAAAACAUGUUUAGACCCUCAGGCCCACCUAGACCAAUCCCAUCAGAAUUGGGGAUGGGGUCAGAUCUCAGUCCUUUUAACAACUUCACGGGCCAUUUUGGUGCAUAGCUGGAAACACCGGCCCAAGGCUGCCCUGUCCAGUGCAGUAGCCAUUGGCCACAGGUGUCCUUUGAACACUUAAAACGUGGCUCCCGUGAUCAAAGAGCUAAACUUUUAUUUCCUUUUUUUUAUUUUGGUUUAAUUUAAACUUAAAUAUCCACAUGUGGCUUGGGUCUGCCAUGUAGGACAGCUCAGAAAAGAACAUACGUAUCACGAAAAGAGUAAUAAAGAAAGUUCCGUGGGUUCGUGUGGCCUGAGGGGGCCACCAGACCUUACUGCCGUCUGAACGUGGGAGGCCUGUGGCGUGGCUCUGUUGACUUCAGAGGGACCUGCCCUCCUCUCCUGGGCCUACAGUGUGUUUUGCAUCUAUAUUUUGCACGGGGGCUGUGUACCAGCAAGGCCAAUAUGCUUUCAAAGCACUGAGCCGUACGAGGAAAAGAAUUGAGAAUCAAUCUCGACCCAGGUGCAAGGCCCAGACCCGACACCCUUUGUGUCCCCUCUGCCAGUUUGCUGUGUCUGCCUCUUUGGAGACCCAGCCUGGGAAGGGAGCUUUUCUGCUAUGGGAUGACUCUAUUCCAAGAAUCUGGGACAGUACCCGAAGAACUUUUGGGAAAACCAGGGACUAGAUGUGUCACCCAGGAGAGGAGUCAUGGUUUCGAGAUGGGCUCAGGGAGGUGGCUCAGCAAGCUCCACCAGUUUGGGGUUACAGAUGAAGAAAUAGAAGUCAAAGCUGAAUCAUUUUCUGCUUAUCACUCAGAGAGUGUCAGAUUUUCUUUUUCUUUUUUUUUUUUUGUUGGAGGGAAAGCACCUGGACGACGAAAAGAGUCAUACUAUUUUGAAUUUCAGAGCUUUCCCUUUUUCAGAGCACCUCACCCUCUUGGGCUUGUUUGGUCCUCCUAACAAGCCUCUAAGACAAGCAGGAAAGGGGCCUUUGGUGGCCAGCACCCCGAGAAGGAGCUCGACACCGUGGUAGGAUGGAAGGGAGCAGGUUUGGUUGUCCGAUCCCAGGCUGCACACGUGAGCUUAGGUUGUGUAACUCAAAACAAAUGUACAGAUUACACAGAUUUUUUUUUUUAAAUUUUAAUUUACAGUGGGUUGUGUUUCUGAAGGAAAACAGCACUCUGCACUUGUUCUAUUGGGUUGCAUACCAGGUUCCUAAUCCUCCAGGCGGGAUUCUCUGGGGACAUUCCUUCCUCGGAGGCUCCAGUGACCUACAGAUUUGGUAAAUAUGCCUUCAGUGUCUUUCUGCAAGUUAUUUAAAAAUGGCAGCCAGGACAGGGCCCUGUGGGUCUCCACGAGACUCAUUCCUCCCUCCUACCAGGCACAGACAGCAUGACACCCUUCCCUUGGGGGUCUUCAACCUUUUCCCACGUAGAGUAGUAGCAGAGAGGGCUGUCAAACCACACCUCCAGGGGACAGCAACUGCUUAUUGGUCUGACCGGCUGAGACCUCAUGGUGGCCCCAGCAACCAGGGCCGUCUCCAGGGCUGACGUGGGAGUAAGGGUGGCAGGAUGGAUCUGAUGCCACCAGCUGACCCCUGAGGAUGGCUGUCCUGCCCGUGUGACCCCUCCUAGCCACACCAUCAUCGGGGCCAUCGUGUGCACCCACACACAUACAGGACACGAGAGGUUGUCAAAUGCUCUACUGAAAGCAAGCCACCCUUUCUGGGGCAUUCCCCCACUCGGCUGUGCUGGGGAGGCUCGUCAAAACAGGAAAUGAGGUUAGCAUGGAAUGACUUUCUCUCAGAGAACUUGGUUGCCUCCUAGAGACCACCUCUAGCUUCCCAAAAGGCCGUGGGCCUUGCUCCGAGCCUCCCCUGGGCUUUCCUGGCCAGGCGAGGGCAUCUGCUCCUCUGCGAUGCUCGGGGCGGCUCCUUGGGAAAACAGUGGGAGGUCUCCUGGCUCCAGCCCCCGGCCCCCUCCCUGGCAGGCCAGCGUCCCUGAGCCGUGGGCCUGUGGGCCUGAAGUGAGACGGCACAUUCUCCAGCCACAGCUGGGUGCACGCACCCGGCGCCAGGCUCACGCCUGGGCUCCCGGGUUUCAGGUGGCUCCUUCCCUCAGGGAGUUGAUGGAUCCAGCACGUUCCCACAUUAUCAGGGAGGUGGUAAGAGAAGGCUGAGCCAGGGAGGUGACGCUUCGUGGGAGCCACCCACUGUCCUUCGGCUCCACAGACGACCUUUGGCUCAGAAUGUGCCAAGAGGGGAGUAACCGGGCCUGGUGGCAUUCGAGUGAGCCCCACACGGUGCCCUAGCCAUGGAAAGAGCGGCAUCAUCUCCCCCCUGCGGGGGCCUUCCCACCAGCAGCCCUGAGUGCUGAAGUGCUUCGAGCCACACUUCCCUUCAUGGGGGAGAAAGGAGUCGACCUGAGGGAAGGUCUGGCCUGACCUCGACACUGGGCUGGACACUUGUCUCCAAGCACCAGGCUCAGUUGACUUUUUGGAAAUGCAUCCGCCCGGGCCCUGUGCUCUCACCACUGGGAUCCGGAUCUGCCCCUUUUCCCCACACGAUGCAGCAGGACCUCAGAGGCCAGCCUGAGCGGCGGCUGCAGUGGGUCAAGUCCUGCUCCUCUCCUUCAUCCCGGGGCCUGGCCGUCCUCUCCCCAGGUCUAGGGGCGCCAUGUUUUCGGUGGUGCAGGCGCCUUCCUAACACCCCGGCUCCCUGGUGAGCCUCAGUUUGCUCUGGAUCAGCUUUUGGUGGCUUGUAACUGCCAACCCCACAGCAGGACCCAGGGGCAGGGUUAGUGUCCUUUUGUUAGGUCAAGAAAACAGUUUUGGUGAGACCCCAGGUCAUAACACUUGUGACAUGGUGCCUCCUGGGUUUAGAUCCAGAGGAACCCAGCCCCACGCCUCUCGUCAUUAUGUUGUCUCUGUACGUCGUAAAGGAAAACCCAUUUUCCCUUAGAAAGGGCUGUGAGUGCUGAGUGACAUUGGGAAGGGACUGUGUCACUGGGGUCAGGGGCAGGCAGACCUGGGCUCUGCAGGCCACCUGGGUCAGAAAGGCAGCAAGGGGCUGGCCCUCCCACUGCCACCAGAAGCUGCACUUCCACAGAUCCUGGGGGACUUUGAGGGCACGCAGGUGCGAGGUCUGCUCCUUACUCUGGGCCCUGUGUGGGUGACAGAGAAGUGGGUUCUGCCCUCGUUCUUCCCAGGAGCUGGUCAGGGGCUGGGACAACCAGGCAGAUGGAGGCUCCUGGGGUCCAGUGGGCAGCCCUGGCCCCUCAGCUCCUCAGGGAGGGGGAAGGGUCAGGAAGCCAUGGAAAGAGCAGCGUAGAGCAGGCCAUCACUGUCAUGGGGGUGGGGAGGAAGGAGAAGGGGGACACCGUCCAGGUGGCUGCUCCCCCUCUGGCCCUCGCCCCACUCCUCCUCCCUUCUUCCAGGUGCAGGGCACAGCUCUGGAAUCACUGUCCCCGGUCCCUUUGGCAAGGUGGCCAGGGACCCUGGUUUGCUGAGGAUGGCCUCUUCAUGGCGGCUAGACAUUGACCUAGGGCCAUGCCUCACUUCCUAUGUCCCUGUCGUGCUCAGAGACGUCCUGGUGUGGACGCUUGGGUCCCCUCUUUGGGCCCCACAUCGGCUUUGCUGUGCCAUCAGGAGCUGGAUCUGCAAACACCAGCUCCUAACUCGGGGAAGUGAGCCCGGCAGCCCCCGCAGUUCUGGCAGGGCCACCUCAGAAGACGCAGGGUGGACAAUGGGGAGGGACAGUGUAUGCACUCGGCACCUGGGUGAAGGCCCGUGGUCAUGCAGGCAUACAUGAACGUGUGACAUGGGUGUGUUGCAUGUGGGGACAUGGGGUGUUUGGAUGGGGUGCCUGUGUGCCUACGGGGUGGCACACUGUGAGGGGGUGUGCACUGCCUGUGUGUCUUGUGUGUGGUGUGGUGUGGUUGUGCAAGGGGGACGUGAGUGGGUGUUGUGGUACAAGGGUCUGUGGCACAGGUGGACGUGUGGGCCUGGUGGGUGUGUGCAGGACUGUGCCCAUGUGAUGUGGGUGUGGAGUGCCCCUUGGCUGUGGGAGUCACAUGAUGCCUCGUGUGCUUCCUGGGCCAGGGAGGGGCAGAGGCACAGGCCACCUGUCUCCCCAGGUCUCUGCUUGACACUGCCUACAGGGAACGCCUCCCAGGCCUGCUAGCCCACGGGCACAGAGGCCCUGCUGAGUGCAGAGCCAGACACCCAGGCCUGGAGGCGAGGUGGGUGGGUGGGGCUUCCCCAGGUUGGGCCUAGCACCUUGCUGGGCCCCAGGAAGGCUGUAUCCAGGUCACCACCUGGAGCCCCUUCCUCCUGCCCUGCUUAGUGACACAAGGCCCCUGUGGAUGCUUCUGGCUCCAACUUCCUGUAUAGCAGCCAAGAUGGAGCCGGGAGCUCCCUCCUCCUGCCUCUUGGGUCACUGGCCUUCCUAAAUUGCUUUCUCCUGGAGAUAGGGCAGAAGAGACCAGGACCUAGCUGGUGGAAGUUAUGACACGAGGAAGCUGUCCUCCAGAAGGAGGGCCCCUGCCAGCUCAGUCUUGGUCUCUCCUGCUGUGUCCCCCUGAGAAAGCACAUUGGGCUUCCCUCCGUCAUGGCCCCACCUCGGACAUCACUCUGCUGCUGAUGGGUGGAGGGUGGCUAACCCGCCCCCAGGGCCAGAGGCAUCCUGCCCUCUGUUUACUCAACCCCCAGCCCUGCCACCCACCGUCACCUCUCUGGAAGGGCUUUGCUCUUGGCUGAGGACCACCCAACUGUCACAGUCACUCUCCCAGAGGCAACAAUGGCCCAGGAACGUUUUUCUGAAGACAUGGUAGGAGCUGGGGCCCCUCUCUUAGGGUUGUGGAGAAGGAGACGUGAUAAGUUACAGGAGUUGGUCACAAUGGGUCCCUGAUCUGGUCUGCAUGGCCUCCCCUGAGUCGCUCCAAGUCUCUGUUUUCCAAAUCCACAAACUGGAGAGAACACGGCCUCCCACUCGGGCAUGAGGGAGGCUGCUUGGUCUAAUACCUGGUGGCCAUUCUACACAGCAUCCUAGUUCAUAAAGACUGAGUGUGUAUUAAACUAUAAAUAUGUCAGAGAGGAGCAUAGCCAUGCCACCGGAGGACACUCCCAAGGGUCCUUAUGACCUUCGCCAUGAAAUGAAAACUAUCACAAGGAGGAAAAGGGGAUCUAGAGAGAAGGGAUAGCAGAGGUCUCAGAAGAAAGAAGGAAGGAAGGAAGGAAAGAAGGCAGGAAGGGUCAGAGAGCGAGAGAACCGAGGGACGCAGGGCCAGCCUGCCAGACUGCUGCUUCCCCUGUCUGUGACAGCAGGACACCCAGGACCCACUCCUCAUCUGCAGAGCCAGACAUGGUAUAGGAACAGUGAUUUGCUUUAAUGUAAAUAUUUUGAUGUAUUUCUUUUCCUGAACUUUUAACCUUGAUGGUAAACAGGGCACAUACAGUAAAUGAAUUGUUUUUCUGAGAACUGACUUUUGAGGAAAUAGGAAAAAAAAAAAAGAAAGAUUUUUAUUAGCUAAUUAUCAGUCUAGCAUGUGAUUGAAAACCUUCUUAUUGUGCUUCUUAAGCCUGCUUCAGGAGAUUUUGGGCCACUAAAAGAGAGCCUUAGUUUAAUGUAUGGAAAUCAAAACCAUGACUAUGUGUUUGAGCCCAGAUUCAGAGAGCAAACCUGCAGACAGAAGGGAAGUCUCCUGCCAGGUCCCUGAGACAGCAAACCAUACAAGACUCCAGGUCCCAGUUUGCUGCCUGUAGAGACUCUAUUCCUUCCUGGUUCCUGUCCUACCCUGACCACUUUGUUUCAUGCUUAUCCAUUAGAGCAGGUUUUACGAUAGAAGAAGGAAUGUUAAGGUCCACUCUUAAUGUCCAAGGGGCUGCCUUCCUUCUCCCGGCAGACGGCUGACUGGGCCAACCUUCUUCAGAGACCCUGUCUGUGCCAAUCCAUUGCAUAAAAUUAUUUUGUGAACCCGGCUGCAGUGGUGCCCACCUGUAACCCCAGGGGCUCGAGAGGCUGAGGCAGGAGGAUUGCAAGUUCAAAGCCAGCCUCAGCAACUUAGCAAGGUGCUAGGUAACUCAGUGAGGCCCUAAGCAACUUAGUGAGACUCUGUUUCUAAAUAAAAUAUUGAAAAGGGCUGAGGAUGUGGCCGAGUGGUUAAACACCCCUAGGUUCAAUCUCUCGUACCAAAAAAAAACAAAAGGUUAUUUUGUGACAAUGACAGGAACCACACCAACUUGAGUCCCACUACUGACGGUUCCAUUGAGAGUCUCCCUUCACCUCUGUCCUGUAAUUUCUCUGUUACCUGAAGAUCUGCUGCCUUGGUGUUAGAUCUCUCAUGUGCUUUGAAAUACCUACAGGGAUGAAGACACCUCGGAUCCCAUGUCCUGUGAAGCCCCACUGUAACAGAGCAAUGCGGGGCCGGAAGGGCCCACGAGGCCAACAGCGACCUGGCCUCAGGACAAGUCUUCACUGGGUCGCCCAGGGCUUCUGCGUCUAGCAGAACCAGUCCUUUAAAGUUAAGCCAAGGACACUGGGAUAAGUAUCCCAGGUCUUCCAAGAUGCGUGGCAAUGCCAACGAAGCUUCCAGGCAAGAUUUUCCUUGCAGUCUUAGAACGGGGAGGAAGGUCGCAGGAAAAAUGAAAUGACCCACAGGACCUUUGUUAAAGGACGGGAUUGGGAUAGACCACAGAAUGAGUUAAGACGGGCAGCUCCUAGGAAGUCAGUCCCCAGCUCUCCCAGUCUCCAUCCUUCUCUCCUCCACUUCCUUUCAGAGUAAAUUAGAGAAUCGGCUAAAAUCCAAGUUAAGUGUGUGGUAUAUUUAUCUGAUUGACCUCCUUCUCCUCAUCAUAUCUUAUCUUCACUUGUAAAUUAUUAGCAUCCUCCUCCUGGUCUCCAGGCACAUUAUUCGCACGAUUUCUUUAAAUGUUAGUCAGUCUCUCUGUCUCUGUCUCUGUCUCUGUCUCUCUCUCUCUCUCUCUCUCUCUCUCACACACACACACACACACACACACACACCUACACACACAUACACCCCUGUCCUGCAGAAACCAUAGCUACUGUGAACAGUUCAUCCUCUGUCAUUCACUGGGAGCUUUGGUCUAGGAAGCCGCUUCUGGUGCUACUGGUGACCACGUCCACACCACGCAAGGAGCCACUCUCCCCCGCAAUAUAACAAGACAUCAGGUAAAUCCUAAAGAAUGAAAUUGUGGGAAGCUGAGGCAGGAGAAUGGCAAGUUUAUGGCCAGCCUCUACAACUUAGAGAGGUCCUAAGCAAUGUAGGGAGACCCAAUGUCAAAAAAUAAAAAGGGGCUGGGAUGUGGCUCAAUAGGUAAUCAAUGGUUUAGUGUGCGCGAGUUCAAUCCCUGAUACAGGGAAAAAAAAAAAAAAGAACUGGGUAUAGAUCAAUGAUAAAGCAUCUCUGGAUUCAUUCCCUGGUACAAAAAAAAAGAAACUUCAUUUAUUUUUCUACCUAUGUCCCUUCUAGUUGAUAAACAUUCUCGGUAGUGUUCCAACUGGUAAGUCCGGGCAUCUAUAAGGCUCUGUGAAUCAAGUAUUUUUGAGAUCUAUUAGGAAAAGGUGGGUUUGUUUCACCCGGAGGCUCAUCAUGUUACUGCAAACAACCUGAGUGGUUGGUAUGAUCAUCUCCGAUUGAUCACCAAUACCCCAGGCCCAAGGUGAAGUUCUGCAGCCAGAAACUAGAUCAAUCGGAAUGCAAGCCCCCUCCCCACUGCCUCCAGGACCCCUGGGCCAAGGUGAGAAGGUGGGCCCAGCCCAGUACUUCCAGGUCCCCACGCUCUGUGCCUGCCUGUCACACGUACCCCAGCAGCGUGAGAGCUCCUUACUCUGCAUCUUGAAGGAACCCUCUUCCAGAAAGACCUUCCCCUCUGGGCGGCAAGACCCAGUGACAGGCUGGUGGCCCUCCCUCCACUGCGUGAGACCUGAAGGAAAUGUUACCUGGACUGGUGGAGGCAGACGUGUCUCUCCUAUUUUCUGCCGGGUUUUUUUUGUUGUUGUUGUUGUUUUACUUAAAGGAGGUGAGGAACCCUGGAAAACGGGGAAUCCCACUUUUUUGAAGUCAUCAGCCAUCAAUUCUCAGAACUGUAACCACAAAUCACCCAAAAGCAAAACCCUGGAGAGGAGGCAUGGAGGUGGGCUGGGAAUUCUGUGUGUCCCCUGAGCAAGUGCCCCUGACUCAUGCCACGCUGUUGGAGAGCGCUGCCAUGACCCACUGUGUCCCGGACAUAGUCUGAGCUGUGUGCUUCUCUCCUUCCACAGAUGGCAGAAUCGGGGAGACCAAAUGCAGCACGAAGAAUUGUUUCAAAAACGCUUGCACCCUCUCACAAAAAUGGGGAACUUGAUCCCUGUGGGUCAGCUCUGUGUUUUGAAAAAAGGAAAGUAGGGGUCAUUCUUUGCCCUGAAAGUUCCCACUCAUUGUUGAGUAAACAUCAUAAAUCCAUCUCAGAGACAGGCUGCUGGACUCAAAUUACCUCCUGCUACAAUUGUAGCUUCAAGUUCUAAUGCUCAACAUGAAUAACAUUGUCCCACUCACAGGUCUGAUUAAUGAGACAUUUUGCCAACUUCGGGGUGGAAGAUCAGCUCCCAGCCCCUCCCUCUCCCCCCUGUGACUGGGUAACCAUUUCAGCACAUUCCCCCCCAUUAAGUCCUACAGGGCAGCCGAGUGCCACAAAAACUAAAGGAUAUGGGACAGACACCAGGGUCUCUCUGGGCAGCCCUUACCAGCUGACAGAGGGCAGGUUUGCUCGGGUCUGCCCCAAGAAAUUCAGAACAUUCCAUGCACACUGCGCCAUUUGCCUGUGGCCAUGUGGAGCCUGCAGGUCACUCCUAUAGGACCAUCUGCUUCCCCCGGUAGUCGUGUGUGCCCUACUUGCCUGCAAAGUGACCAAGGCCACAUUUGAAAGUGUGGCAGAAAGUCACAUUCAAGAGGUGACCCAAAUAAGCAUUUCACACCCAACCAGAGAAGAGUGGGGAUUUUGUCUGAUCUAGAAAGUGUCUGCUUCCACAUAAUUCCUGGAAGGAGCACUGAUCACAUGGGAGGAGCCCCACUGGGAGCCGUGGGGGUGAGGGGGGGGGGGACCCCAGGGCUUGCUGAGUCUGCCCUACAGACAUGCUCUCAUUUGCCAUCCUCCUGAGCAGUCAAGGACAUCAUCUCUGGGUUUCCCAGAUGAUCGAGCCGUGGCUUAUGGGCUGGUGGCACAGCCAGGAUCUGCGCUCUGGUCUCAAGUGUGAAAGUCGCACUCACCCUCUCGCCCUGUGCCUUCCUUCUCCACACCUGUAUGUGCGCACACACCCCCUACUCCCUCGUGGGCAUCAGUUACAUCAGUGUGGACACAUCCCCAGCAUGACCUGGAUCUGUCCAGAUUUGACGGAUUGAGAAGCUACGUUUUCCAUGCAAUUGAGGCUUUAUAUAAUUAUUAUUUCAGGUGAGUCUGAUUUGUUUUUACACCAGGGUUCAGUAAGCAUCUUUCUCAAGGCCACAUGGUGCAUAUGCAGACUUUGCAGCCCCUACGGUCUCUGUGACCGUCACUCAGCUCCGCCACUGCAGCACAGAGCUGGCCACAGGCAAGACGUGCAGGAAGGAGAGUGGCUGUGUUCCAGUAAAACUUUAUUUAAAAAACUGAGCGGCAGCCAGGUUUGGCCUCAGACCAUAGUUUGGGACCCCAGGGCUUUCAACCCAUCAAGUGUCAUAGUCUGGUGUUUCAGACACUGGGUCUGUCCCGGCGGUGGCUGGGGCUAGCACCCUUGCCAUCAGGGUGUGGGAGUUGCCACUGCUUAGGAAGCACUGGACGAGGAAUGAGGCGGCUCUCAGCAGGGGAGGCCGGUCCAUCAGAGCUGCUGGUGGGGAGUCCUUUGUGUGUGGGGACAUCUGCCCAGGAGCCUUCCUUGGGAAGCCCUUGAUCACACCAUCGUCUUCCUUUUCUCUGCCCUCUCCACCUGUUCCCACUCAAAGGGACCCACCUGAGUUGUUUUGACCCACACAGUGUCUUAUUCACCCUCCGAGCCACACUGUGGCCUCAUUGGGUCAUCUGCGUGGCCGUUUGGAAGGUGUGGGUAGGGCAGGGCUGCAGGGGGCUCAGUGUGUCUCCUUCCUCUUCAACCCUGCCACUGCCACCGCGCUCUGGAAGGUGCUUCUGGUCCCUUAGACCCUCCCAAACCUCGCAAGGCCAAGGCUCCCGGCUUGAGAGACUGUUGGGAAGACCUGGCUCAGGAGAACAUGGGCCACACUUCAGGAGGCUGAGCUAGGUGCAGCAGGCUGGGCCAGGGAUGUGCUGCCACGGCCGUGAGCCGUGACCACAGGAUGUCCACGCCUGGAAGGUCAGCAGCCCCAGGGCCCCAAGUCCUCGGUGAGAAGGCAGGCUUGGCGACGCAGGGUCUCUGCUUUAGUGGAGACUGAUCAUUGCAGCGGCUUUGCCUGAGACCUGCCUCUUGCAGACUUUAGUUCUUUGCAGUAGAGAAAUGCUGAUCCCGCCUGCAUCAGCCUCGGAACUUUGGGAAGAAGGCUGAGGUGUCGUCUGGGCAAGGCGCCAGGGCAGCUGGGAUCUUCUGGGCUCUUCUGGGGGGAAAGGCACCAGGCAAAAGUGUGGGAUUGACCACAGGACAUGCUUCUCUAAGUGCAGGCCUCAGUGCCCCUCAGCCUGCCCUCCUGGGGAGCAGUGAGCAGGGGUGAGCUGAAGCCAUGGGUGCAGUCUGCAAGGACCCAGAGCAGACGGCCCUGGGCAGCUGGCAGAGCUGAGCAGCCAUCUGGGUGCCCAUGAGCCUUAUUGAUAAGGAGUCUGUUUUUUCUUCCUGUAGCUGACAGCUGCUCUCCAAAGACAGAGAGUCGGGGAAACCAGGGUCAGGAUCUUGGACCAGGCCUGCUCCGUUCCACCAAUAUGGCGAGGGUCAGAAAACAAGGCCAGGCUUGCUGUGUGCAUGCGACCAAGGCCAGGAGUGGGAAGACCAGGACCACUCAGUAACAGCUGCGGAGGCCACAGGCAGCUGCUCACGCCAUACCAGGGUCACCCCAGAGAGGCCACCAGGACCCUACGCCUCUUAUUUUCUUUCUCCAUGGAAAACUACAAAUUUGCAGGAUCUGAAGGAGCCUCCCCAGGCUUUUAUUGGGUAAUCGUAUAAGGCAGAGCCUUCCGAGGUUCUAGAAGCUGAGACGGCCCUGGCUAACAACCAGCCAAGAGACAACCACAGAGAACCAAAUUCUAAACACUUGAACAAACUUGUGAGCAGGUUCUUCCCUGGAGCCUCCAAACUAGAGCUGAGAACUUGGGCCUUCCUUGUGAGACCCCGGGCAGAACCCCCUGGGGUCCACCUGGAUUUAUGCCUUGUACAACUGGGAGGUGAUAGAUGAGUGGGUGUUUUGUUAACAUUUGGGGUUUUAGCUGGUAAGUUUGUAGCAAACAGAAUAAAACUAUUUUUUUUGUUUGUAGCAAACAGAAUAAAACCAUUUUUCACACCAAAGAACUUUGUGACAUAGUCUGCUUUAGUGGCUGCAGAAUACCCCAUUCCCUGGCCCUCUCCUACUUUGUCUAAUGUCCCUCCAUGAUGGACGCUAAAUCUGCACUGGACUUAACACCCUCGUUUGCAGAAGGGACCCCCAGGACAGCCCUCACACGGCUCACUCUCAUUCAUGGGGCAAAUUGCUCUCAGAAUCGUCCCCUCCACUCAUGGCCCAUGGCCAGGGCACACCAGACUCCUCAUCCCCAGUGCAUGUUGGGUCUUGCUGCCACCACGCCCAGGUGCAGCCACUCAGUCCACCAUCCCUGUCUGACCUUGGGAAGAUUUCUCUUAAAAAGCAGACCCUCUGCACUUCUGAUUAAAGGAGUGAAAUAGGUGAAAUUUAAACUCAUAGGAAAUAAGCAAAAAAAUGGCAAAGGUAUAUGAAUCAACAAAAGAACUAACUAGAACUAGCCACAGAGAGUUUAGAUAGUGUACAAGACAUGGGGUCGGUAACACAAACGAUCAGAGUUUGCUGGUGAACAAUGAACAGUAAGGAAUUUUUUAAAAUGCCAUUAUUAUAACCUUAGAAAUUUGAAAUAUUUAGGAAAACCCUUAGUAUUGCUGAGAGGAGCUAAACAAAACCUAAAUAGCUCUGGGCCAAAAGUCUGUAUUGUUAAGAUGGUGUUGUGGUUUAAUGAGGUGUCCCCCAAAAGCUCAGGUGUGAGACAAGGCAAGAAGGGUCAGAGGAGAAAUGA